rnacentral:lncRNA from 1 species
AAGUGCUUUUUUAUUUUGAAAAACUCUAAUGGUUCGUUUAGGAUUGCGGAGAGAUUACGUUACGUGCGGUGAGAAGGUACGGUAAGAAAAUACUUUAUUUAUUUUCGUACGUAAUGAAUUACGCAUAUCACGAUGAAUAUAUUAUAAUAUAUUUUUUACUGUCCCAUCGAAAAACGUAGAAGCAUAUUCCUAUAUGCUUUUAUUCUAACUUUAUUUUAUCUAAUAGCAUUAGAUAGUCGUCAAUACCAAACUAAAUUUAAAUUUGCUUUUUCGGCUUUUUCUAAAAAGUCUCCCAUCAUCCAAGGCUUUUCCAUCACAUGUGCAUGCGGCAACCCCUCCUUCAGUCAAAAGGUUCUCGUCGAAUUGAGAAAGCCUACAGUAUCACACUUACAUUAUAUCAACAGUAACAAGCCAAUCAUAUAUCUCUCUUUUGAAAAAAAAAUAUAAUAAAAAUAUUUUUAUAUUAAUCACAAUGGUACGGAUGAAUCCAAAGAAGACAAUCCCAUUAGUUGGGAAAACCAUAUGAGCAAUAUAACUGGUACAUUUUAAAUAUUUUCUGUCGAUUCUAACUGAAUAAGCGAUAAUAGUGU